AUUGAACGCUGGCGGAAUGCUUUACACAUGCAAGUCGAGCGGCAGCGCGGGGCAACCUGGCGGCGAGCGGCGAACGGGUGAGUAAUACAUCGGAACGUGCCCAGACGUGGGGGAUAACUACUCGAAAGAGUAGCUAAUACCGCAUAUGAUCUAAGGAUGAAAGCGGGGGAUCGCAAGACCUCGCGCGUUUGGAGCGGCCGAUGGCAGAGUAGGUAGUUGGUGGGGUAAAGGCUUACCAAGCCUGCGAUCUGUAGCUGGUCUGAGAGGACGACCAGCCACACUGGGACUGAGACACGGCCCAGACUCCUACGGGAGGCAGCAGUGGGGAAUUUUGGACAAUGGGCGAAAGCCUGAUCCAGCCAUUCCGCGUGCAGGAUGAAGGCCCUCGGGUUGUAAACUGCUUUUGUACAGAACGAAAAAGCUCUGGUUAAUACCUGGAGUCCAUGACGGUACUGUAAGAAUAAGCACCGGCUAACUACGUGCCAGCCGCCGCAGUAACAC
rnacentral:rRNA from 1 species